GAUGAACGCUGGCGGCGUGCCUAAUACAUGCAAGUCGAGCGAACGGACGAGAAGCUUGCUUCUCUGAUGUUAGCGGCGGACGGGUGAGUAACACGUGGAUAACCUACCUAUAAGACUGGGAUAACUUCGGGAAACCGUAGCUAAUACCGGAUAAUAUUUUGAACCGCAUGGUUCAAAAGUGAAAGACGGUCUUGCUGUCACUUAUGGAUGGAUCCGCGCUGCAUUAGCUAGUUGGUAAGGUAACGGCUUACCAAGGCAACGAUGCAUAGCCGACCUGAGAGGGUGAUCGGCCACACUGGAACUGAGACACGGUCCAGACUCCUACGGGAGGCAGCAGUAGGGAAUCUUCCGCAAAGGGCGAAAGCCUGACGGAGCAACGCCGCGUGAGUGAUGAAGGUCUUCGGAUCGUAAAACUCUGUUAUUAGGGAAGAACAUAUGUGUAAGUAACUGUGCACAUCUUGACGGUACCUAAUCAGAAAGCCACGGCUAACUACGUG
rnacentral:rRNA from 1 species